GACGAACGCUGGCGGCGUGCUUAACACAUGCAAGUCGAACGGAAAGGCCCUGCUUUUGUGGGGUGCUCGAGUGGCGAACGGGUGAGUAACACGCGAGUAACCUGCCCUUGACUUUGGGAUAACUUCAGGAAACUGGGGCUAAUACCGGAUAGGAGCUCCUGCUGCAUGGUGGGGGUUGGAAAGUUUCGGCGGUUGGGGAUGGACUCGCGGCUUAUCAGCUUGUUGGUGGGGUAGUGGCUUACCAAGGCUUUGACGGGUAGCCGGCCUGAGAGGGUGACCGGCCACAUUGGGACUGAGAUACGGCCCAGACUCCUACGGGAGGCAGCAGUCGGGAAUGUUGCACAAUGGGCGGAAGCCUGAUGCAGCAACGCCGCGUGCGGGAUGACGGCCUUCGAGUUGUAAACCGCUUUCGCCUGUGACGAAGAGUGAUUGACGGUAAUGGGUAAAAAAGCACCGGCUAACUACGUG
rnacentral:rRNA from 1 species